rnacentral:rRNA from 1 species
CUACGGGCGGCUGCAGUAGGGAAUUUUCCACAAUGGGCGAAAGCCUGAUGGAGCAACGCCGCGUGCAGGAUGAAGGCUUUCGGGUCGUAAACUGCUUUUAUGUGCGAAGAAUAUGACGGUAACACAUGAAUAAGGGUCGGCUAACUACGUGCCAGCAGCCGCGGUCAUACGUAGGACCCAAGCGUUAUCCGGAAUUACUGGGCGUAAAGAGUUGCGUAGGUGGCAUUAUAAGUGGAGCGUGAAAGCGUGCGGCUCAACCGCAUUACUGCGUUCCAAACUGUAAAGCUUGAGUAUGAUAGGGGUAAGUGGAAUUUCUAGUGUAGGAGUGAAAUCCGUAGAUAUUAGAAGGAACACCGAUAGCGUAGGCAGGUUACUGGAUCAUUACUGACACUAAGGCACGAAAGCGUGGGGAGCAAACGGGAUUAGAUACCCGAGUAGUC